rnacentral:rRNA from 1 species
AACGAACGCUGGCGGCAUGCCUAACACAUGCAAGUCGAACGAGACCUUCGGGUCUAGUGGCGCACGGGUGCGUAACGCGUGGGAACCUGCCCUUAGGUUCGGAAUAACUCCCCGAAAGGGGUGCUAAUACCGGAUAAUGUCUUCGGACCAAAGAUUUAUCGCCUUUGGAUGGGCCCGCGUUGGUUUAGCUAGUUGGUAGGGUAAAAGCCUACCAAGGCGACGAUCCAUAGCUGGUCUGAGAGGAUGAUCAGCCACACUGGGACUGAGACACGGCCCAGACUCCUACGGGAGGCAGCAGUGGGGAAUAUUGGACAAUGGGCGAAAGCCUGAUCCAGCAAGGCCGCGUGAGUGAUGAAGGCCUUAGGGUUGUAAAGCUCUUUUACCCGGGAUGAUAAUGACAGUACCGGGAGAAUAAGCUCCGGCUAACUCCGU